UGUCAAUUAACUUUAACUAUGAGUCAGAGUCCACCUCAUGUGCUGCUCCUCUCACUUAGAGUGGAGUCUUCACAAAUCAACCCCGGAAAGAUAGCCUCAGCCUGCACCUCAGAAGCUUGGAGGCAGUGAGGGAGGAGAGAAAGAGAGGAGAGGAGGCAAAGAGCUUGCUCUUCCUCUAGGUUUCAUGGGGAAAAGACUGUUCAUCUAGGUCUCUGCUCCUCCUCCUCCUCCUCUGCAGGGCACUGAGACUCCGAGCAACACCGUUCCUACUGUUCCAAUUGGAGAAACUGAGGCAGGAGAGGAGUUUGCCUGAGGAGGCCGGGGAACGGAUGGAAGAACCAGAGAUGACACAAUCUGGGUUUCUCCAUUAGGUGGAGGUCAGGACCCCUCCUCCCUCCCUUCCCAUCACCCCUCAUAGUCUUCCCCAGAGCCUGGGCAGCAGUCACCGACCAUCCCGGCUGAAGAGAGCACGUAAGAACCCAGACUCCUCAGCUCAUCUCAGGUGGAAGCCCAGCCCCGAGACUGCAAGGGGAAGGAGAAGGAGACCACUGUGGAGUACAGGAGGCCAUUAGCUACUGAAAGAAUCCCAUGGGAGGAAAAUACGUGGAUAGAUCAGCCCACUUCCCACCGCAUUGCCUGACUCCAACUCUCCCCCUCUGUGGAGAGGAGAAGAUGAACCCCGGAAGUCUCUUCUGAGGUUCACCAAGAGGGAGAGGUCUUUACUCCGGGGUCAGUGCCCACACUGGUGCCCACGAGGGGUUACAGUGUGAAGGCCCCAGGACCCCCGGCCGGCUCCAACCCCACGCAGUGAGAUGCGCUGCCUCCUGUCUCACCCUCCCCACUGUGGUGGCCAGAGCCGGGCUCUGGGGUCGGGUGGAGAGAGCUGCCUGGGCCAGUCUCUUCCCAGAGCCCCAGCUCUCGUGGAUGCCAGCUGUCUCCUCCCGGAUCAAGAUCCCUGAGGGGUUAUACCACCCCCGGGUUUGCAACCCUCUGCCUCCUCCCAAAGUGAUGGUGGCCAUCGGACCCGAGACUCUCUCUGGCCUUGCCCUUUCUCACAAGCCCAGGGCUGUGGCCAUCUGGGUAAUUACCAACCUACCCAGCCAACGUAAUCAGUGGACAGCUUCUCCCUACGCCCUUUCCCAAAGCGAGUCCACCUAGAGCGGACCGCCCAGCUGGCUUUCUCCCUGGAGGUGGAUGUCUGACCUCCAUCCUGACUCCGGUCAUCCAGGCUCUCUCCGAAUAAUGCCUUCAUGCCCCAGUGGCCCCAGCAGCUCCUUGGCAGCGAGAUUCACACAUCAGCUCCUUCAGGGCCCCGGGCAAGGCCAUGCUUGGUCAUUCUGGUCUCGAGGUCUAGAAUUGUAUCUUCCCUUCCUACUCCGACUCAUCCAACCACCCCCGCCCACCUCCCAAUACCAAGCAAGGGAGCCAUCCAACCUUAUCCCGCCCGCUCCCAAACUCCAGUUCAGAGACCUUCUGGCAUUUGGACUUUUGGGACCUUCAUAACAACCACCCCUGACUUGGCCCUGCCAAGACGCGGUCCACUGUCACCAACUCAGUGGCCACUGCCCAUCCAAAGCAAGCAGCCUCCACUACUACAGGGGGUGGGGUGGGGACAACAUCUGAGCGCCACCCUGCAAUAUCACAACAACCCGACAGGAAGCACAAGUCGGGGCCUGCGAUCCCCAUCUCAGAACGCGGCCGCACAAUGACUUCGGCCUGGAGAUGCGAGUUUCCGAAGGCAACGAUAGCCAGCAGCAGCACAGAGAGUGAGAGAGAGGAAAAGAGAGAGAGAGAGAGAGAGAGAAGAAGGGCACCAAGGGAGGAUUCUGAUUCCAACAGAAUCAUCUUAAGCACCAUCACCACAGAGAAAAGGAAGGGGAGAGAAGAGAAGGGGACAGUCUAC